rnacentral:snRNA from 1 species
GUCGCUUCUGAACACGUGCUAAAAUUGGAGAAAUACAGCGAAGAUAAGCAUAGCCCUUGCGCUAGGAUUAUUCAGGACGAGAGAUAACGCAAUGUGUA